GUAAUAUAUCGGAACGUGCCCAGUCGUGGGGGAUAACGUAGUGAAAAUUACGCUAAUACCGCAUACGAUCUAAGGAUGAAAGCGGGGGAUCGCAAGACCUCGCGCGAUUGGAGCGGCCGAUAUCAGAUUAGGUAGUUGGUGAGGUAAAGGCUCACCAAGCCAACGAUCUGUAGCUGGUUGAGAGGACGACCAGCCACACUGGAACUGAGACACGGUCCAGACUCCUACGGGAGGCAGCAGUGGGGAAUUUUGGACAAUGGACGCAAGUCUGAUCCAGCCAUUCCGCGUGCAGGACGAAGGCCUUCGGGUUGUAAACUGCUUUUGUACAGAACGAAAAGGUCUCUAUUAAUACUAGGGGCUCAUGACGGUACUGUAAGAAUAUGCACCGGCUAACUACGUGCCAGCAGCCGCGGUAAUACGUAGGGUGCAAGCGUUAAUCGGAAUUACUGGGCGUAAAGCGUGCGCAGGCGGUUUUGUAAGUCGGAUGUGAAAUCCCCGGGCUCAACCUGGGAACUGCGUUCGAAACUGCAAGGCUAGAGUGUGUCAGAGGGGGGUAGAAUUCCACGUGUAGCAGUGAAAUGCGUAGAGAUGUGGAGGAAUACCAAUGGCGAAGGCAGCCCCCUGGGAUAACACUGACGCUCAUGCACGAAAGCGUGGGGAGCAAACAGGAUUAGAUACCCUGGUAGUCCACGCCCUAAACGAUGUCAACUAGUUGUUGGUAGAGUAAAAUCUAUGAGUAACGUAGCUAACGCGUGAAGUUGACCGCCUGGGGAGUACGGUCGCAAGAUUAAAACUCAAAGGAAUUGACGGGGACCCGCACAAGCGGUGGAUGAUGUGGAUUAAUUCGAUGCAACGCGAAAAACCUUACCUACCCUU
rnacentral:rRNA from 1 species